UUUAUCGGAGAGUUUGAUCCUGGCUCAGGACGAACGCUGGCGGCGUGCCUAAUACAUGCAAGUCGAGCGGACAGAUGGGAGCUUGCUCCCUGAUGUUAGCGGCGGACGGGUGAGUAACACGUGGGUAACCUGCCUGUAAGACUGGGAUAACUCCGGGAAACCGGGGCUAAUACCGGAUGGUUGUCUGAGCCGCAUGGUUCAGACAUAAAA
rnacentral:rRNA from 1 species